CGCGGAGUGGAGCAGCUCGGUAGCUCGCCGGGCUCAUAACCCGAAGGUCGUAGGUUCAAAUCCUGCCUCCGCAACCA
rnacentral:tRNA from 1 species